GUCUUUAUGUUAUAAAUAUAAAGUCUCGCCUGCCCCCUGAAGUUUAAAUGGCCGCGGUAUAUUGACCGUGUUAAGGUAGCAUAAUCAUUAGUUUUUUUAUUGAAAGCUGGAAUGAAGGGUUGGAUGAAAAAAAAACUGUCUUUAUUUAAUUUUAAAAGAAUUUUAUUUUUAAGUUAAAAAGCUUAAAUUUUUUUAAAAGACGAGAAGACCCUAUAGAGUUUAAUAAUUUUAAAAAUAUAUUUUUUUAGAAUUUAAUUUAUUUAUAUUUUAAAUUUAUUUAAUUGGGGUGAUUGAAAAAUAAAUGUAACUUUUUUUAUAUUAUUAUAUUGAUUAAUAAAUGAUUGAUCCGAUAUUUUUGAUUAUAAGAUUAAAUUACCUUAGGGAUAACAGCGUAAUUUUAUUGGAGAGUUCAAAUUGAUAAUAAAGAUUGCGACCUCGAUGUUGGAUUAAAAUUUAUAAUUGGUGCAGAAGCUAUAUUAUUAAGUCUGUUCGACC
rnacentral:rRNA from 1 species